rnacentral:rRNA from 1 species
AGCAGCCGCGGUAAUUCCAGCUCCAAUAGCGUAUAUUAAAGUUGCUGCAGUUAAAAAGCUCGUAGUUGAAUUUCGGGACUGAUAUGUCGGUCGUGCCUCGGUACGUACUGGUAUUUUUGGUUUCUCCCUUCUGACGAACCUUGAUGUCAUUAAUUUGGUGUCUUGGGAAAUCAGGACUGUUACUUUGAAAAAAUUAGAGUGUUUAAAGCAAGCUAACGCUUGAAUACAUUAGCAUGGAAUAAUGAAAUAGGACGUUCGAUCCUAUUUUGUUGGUUUCUAGGAUUGACGUAAUGAUUAAUAGGGAUAGUUGGGGGCAUUAGUAUUCAAUUGUCAGAGGUGAAAUUCUUGGAUUUAUUGAAGACUAACUACUGCGAAAGCAUUUGCCAAGGAUGUUUUCAUUAAUCAAGAACGAAAGUUAGGGGAUCGAAGACGAUCAGAUACCGUCGUAGUCUUAACCAUAAACUAUGCCGACUAGGGAUCGGAUGAUGUUAAUUUUUUAAUGACUCAUUCGGCGCCUUAC